rnacentral:rRNA from 1 species
UACGUAGGGGGCGAGCGUUAUCCGGAAUUACCGGGCGUAAAGCGCACGCAGGCGGUUCGCCAAGUUUGGAGUGACAGUUGUCGGCUCAACCGACAAAGGACUUCAAAAACUGGUGAACUUGAGGACGAGAGAGGAACAUGGAACUCCAGGUGUAGUAGUGAAAUGCGUAGAUAUCUGGAAGAACACCAAUGGCGAAGGCAAUGUUCUGGCUCGUUUCUGACGCUCAGGUGCGAAAGCCAGGGGAGCGAACGGG